AGUCGAGGGUGGCCUUAUCACUCGUGUCCUGUGCUGCAGCAGUCCUGCCGGUAGGCACUCUUACCCCCACUUGACAUACCGGGAAACUGAGGCACGGAGUAGUGGAAGUAAGUGUCCAAGCCUGUAAGAGGCCCGGCCAGGACUCAGGUCCGGUAGUCUGAUUCCUGCAUCUGUGCUCUUAAAGACUGCCUCUCAUUCAUUCAUUCAUUCAUUCACUCACUCAUUCCUUCACCCAGUCAUUCAAACAGACUAUGGGCCUGGCACUAUGCCAGACCCUAAGGACACAGAAGUAAUACUGCUCUGUAAUAGCCAGAGUAGCCCGAUUUGCUGAGAAUUUACCGAGGAACAAUGCACAUUGUCUUAUUAAAUAAGCACUAGCUGGUUUAAUUCUCAGUGAGGUAGGGAUUAUUGUCCCUGUUUUAUAGGUGGGGAACCUGAGGCCUGCACGGUUAAGCCACUGCACCCCUAAGCACUGUGCCACACCGCCACUGUGACCUCAGGACGCUCAGGGACUCAGGGAGGAGACAGGCGGGAGCUAUCUUACCCUCAGGGUAAACUCAGGGGUGCCAGGGUCAUCCGGAGAAUCUGGGUGCGCUAGAGCAGAUUAGGAAGGGGUGAAAACACAGAGGGAUGGCCUCAGAUGGCCUCAGAGAACCCGGUGGCCUCUAGUGGCCUCUAGUGGCCCCGGGGCUGAACUUAGCUUGGGCGGUGGGGAAGAGGAGGACAGACUUGUAGCCUAGGAGGAUGAUAUCCUGCUUCCGCCUCUGAGAUGGGCAGGAGGGAUUUCUAUGGAGCAAGAGCUAAAGGAUCUCUAAAGCCCUGGCACCCUUCGCUUCCCUGGGAAACCUGGAACACGUCUCGUGGUUGAAUUUGGCGUACGGCCUCCGGAUUGCUUGAGACGUUGAAGGAGAAAGUGGCAAGUGGGGAGAACCGUGGGCUUUAUUUCCUGAGCCCACACUACAGUCUAGAGAUGCCACUCCCCACAGAACAGGCUCCUCGGAGGAAUGGCAGAUUCCGGGGCGACAGUGGGAUGUACAAGAUGGGCGUGGGCCUUGGCCAAACAAACCAGAGAGCAAAGGAGGGGGCCACAGACCUCUGGCACCUGUCAGAAUAACACCCCCCUCCCCGAGUCAACAAGGACUCCCCUCCCCCGUCAUCACCACCAAACCUGUCCCCAGACAUUGCCAAAUGUCCAGCGGGGACACAGUUGCCUACAGUUGAGAAGCGCUAUUUUAGACAUGCCCGUGAAAGCGUAUGUGGGUGAAAUGACAGGUUGCCUGGGAUUUCCUUUAAAAUCACACAAAAAAAGUAAAAGGAGGCAGAACAGAUGGGGAGGCUCCUCUGGCCGGGGCACAGCCCUCAGGGGUGGCUGUGACUGUGAACUUGUCGUCUUCUUCGACUGCUUCAAGAGUUAUGAGGACCUGGGGACCUUCCGUGCAGAGCUCCUCAGGGACAUGCGGGUGCUGCUAGAAUCCUGGUGGCAGGACCCAGUCCCCGGUCUGAGCCUUGAGUUUCCUGAGCAGGGCUUGCCCGGGGCCCUGCACUUCCGACUGACCUCUGCAGAUCUGGAAAACUGGAUGGAUGUUAGCCUGGUGCCCGCUUUCGAUGUCCUGGGGCAGCUCAGCUCCAGCGUCAAACCCAAGCCCCAGGUCUACUCGACCCUCCUCAACAGCGGCUGCCAGGCGGGGGAGCACGCAGCCUGCUUUGCUGAGCUGCGGAGGAACUUCGUGAACACCCGCCCAGUCAAGCUGAAGAACCUGAUCCUGCUCGUGAAGCACUGGUACCGCCAGGUGUGCCCGGCAAUGGCAGCGGGGAAGGAGACGCUGCCCCCGCCCUACGCCCUGGAGCUGCUGACCAUCUUUGCCUGGGAGCAGGGCUGCGGGAAGGACGCCUUCAGCCUGGCCCGAGGCCUCCGGACCGUCCUGGGCCUGAUCCAACAGUACCAGCACCUGUGUGUCUUCUGGACCGUCAACUAUGGCUUCGAGGACCCUGCUGUCGCGCGGUUCUUACGGGCGCAGCUUGAGAGACCCAGGCCUGUGAUCCUGGACCCGUCAGACCCCACGUGGGACGUGGGGAAUGGGGCAGCCUGGCACUGGGCUCGGCUAGCCCAGGAGGCAGAGUCCUGCUACGACCAGCCGUGCUUUCUGCAGGAGUCUGGGGUCCCUGUGCAGCCCUGGGAGGGCCCGGGCCUUCCACGUGCCGGGUGCUCAGGUUUGGGCCACCCCAUCCAGCGAGACCCUAACCAGGGGACCCCUGCAGACAGCAAGAGCCUCAGUGCCGGGCACCCAAGGACAGCGAGCAAACUACCCUCACGCCCAGCUCCUGGCCCCUCGGGGGCAGCCAGCACCGCCCCCUCUGUGUUGGGGACAGCCUCGGAUCUGUCUCAGACCCCCACCAAAGAGCUGGACCGCUUCAUCCAGGACCACCUGAAGCCAAGCCCCCAGUUCCAGGAGCAGGUGAAAAGGGCCAUCAAUGUCAUCUUGCGCUGCCUCCAUGAGAACAGUGACCACAAGGUCUCAAGAGUCAGCAAGGGGGGCUCAUUCGGCCGGGGCACGGACCUAAAGGGCGGCUGUGAUGUGGAAAUCAUCAUCUUCCUCACCUGCUUCACCGACUACAAGGGCCAGGGGACCCGCAGUGCGGAGAUCCUUGAUGAGAUUCGGUCGCAGCUGGAAUCCUGGUGGCGGCUCCAGGUCCCGGACCUGAGCCUGAGAUUUCCUGAGCAGAACGCACCUGGGGCCUUGCAGUUCCGGCUGGUGUCCACGGACCUGGAAAGCCAGAUGGACGUUUGCUUGCUGCCCGCCUUUGAUGCCGUGGGGCAGCUCGGCUCUGGCGCCAAACCUAAUCCCCAGGUCUACUCGACCCUCCUCAACAGCGGCUGCCAGGAAGGGGAGUGUGCUGCCUGCUUCGCUGAGCUGCGGAGAAACUUCGUGAACACCCGCCCAGUCAAGCUGAAGAACCUGAUUCUGCUCGUGAAGCACUGGUACCACCAGGUUGCAGCUCAGAACAAAGGAGAAGGGCCAGCCCGUGCCUCUUUGCCCCCAGUCUAUGCCCUGGAGCUCCUGACCGUCUUUGCCUGGGAGCAGGGCUGUGGGAAGGACCGUUUCGACAUGGCGGAAGGCCUCCGGACUGUCCUGGGGCUUGUCCAACAGUAUCAGCAACUCUGUAUCUACUGGACAGUCAACUAUAGCGUUGAGGACCCAGCUCUGAGAACGCACCUUCUUGGCCAGCUUCGGAAACCCAGGCCCCUGAUCCUGGACCCUGCCGACCCCACCUGGAAUGUGGGCCAGGGUAGCUGGGAGCUGCUGGCCCAGGAAGCAGGAGUGCUGAGUACACAGGCCUGCUGUACGAGUAGAGACGGGACACCAGUACAACCCUGGGAUGUGAUGCCAGCGCUCCUUUACCAGACCCCAGCCGGGGACCUUGACAAGUUCAUCAGUGAAUUCCUGCAGCCCAACCGCCAGUUCCUGGCGCAGGUGAACAAGGCCAUCGACACCAUCUGCUCGUUCCUGAGGGAAAACUGCUUCCGGAAGUCUCCCAUCAAAGUGAUUAAGGUGGUCAAGGGUGGCUCUUUAGCCAAAGGCACAGCUCUGCAAGGCCGCUCGGACGCCGACCUAGUGGUGUUCCUCAGCUGCUUCAGCCGGUUCACCGAGCAGGGGAACAUGCGGGCUGAGAUCAUCUCGGAGAUCCGAGCCCAGCUGGAGGCAUGUCAGCGGGAGCAGCAGUUCGAGGUCAAGUUCGAGGUCUCCAAGUGGGAGAAUCCCCGCGUGCUGAGCUUCUCGCUGACAUCGCAGACGGUGCUGGACCAGAGCGUGGACUUCGACGUGCUGCCAGCCUUUGACGCCCUAGGUCAGCUGGCCUCCGGCUCUCGGCCCAGCCCCCAGGUCUACGGCAGCCUCAUCCGCAGCUACGGCAACGCGGGCGAGUACUCCCCCUGCUUCACCGAGCUGCAGCGGGACUUCGUCAUCUCCCGCCCCACCAAGCUGAAGAGUCUGAUCCGGCUGGUGAAGCACUGGUACCGGCAGUGCAGCAAGAUGCCCAAGGGGAGAGGCUCCCUGCCGCCCCAGCACGGGCUGGAGCUCCUGGCGGUGUACGCCUGGGAGCAGGGCGGGCAGGACUCCCAGUUCAGCAUGGCUGAGGGCUUCCGCACCGUCCUGGAGCUGAUCACGCAGUACCGCCAGCUCUGCGUCUACUGGACCAUCAACUACAAGGCUGAGGAUGAGGCCGUCGGAGACUUCCUGAAACUGCAGCUUCAAAAACCCAGGAGUGAGACUGACCCCGGGUGGGGAUUGCAGGCCCAUCAUCCUGGAUCCGGCUGACCCGACCGGCAACCUGGGCCACAAUGCACGCUGGGACCUGCUGGCCAAGGAAGCCGCGGCCUGCGCGUCGGCGCUGUGCUGCACAGGCAGGGAUGGCACCCCCAUCCGGCCAUGGCCGGUGAAGGCUGCUGUGUGAGGUCCAGGACAUCCGUGGUCGUACUGGAUGGACAGAAGAUAGACACCGGCCCUCAGCGUGGGGAGACUCGGGGUCCCCUGCCAGAU